rnacentral:rRNA from 1 species
GCACUACGGUGCUGAAGCAACAAAUGCCCUGCUUCCAGGAAAAGCCUCUAAGCAUCAGGUAACAUCAAAUCGUACCCCAAACCGACACAGGUGGUCAGGUAGAGAAUACCAAGGCGCUUGAGAGAACUCGGGUGAAGGAACUAGGCAAAAUGGUGCCGUAACUUCGGGAGAAGGCACGCUGACACGUAGGUGAAGUGAUUUACUCACGGAGCUGAAGUCAGUCGAAGAUACCAGCUGGCUGCAACUGUUUAUUAAAAACACAGCACUGUGCAAACACGAAAGUGGACGUAUACGGUGUGACGCCUGCCCGGUGCCGGAAGGUUAAUUGAUGGGGUCAGCGCAAGCGAAGCUCCUGAUCGAAGCCCCGGUAAACGGCGGCCGUAACUAUAACGGUCCUAAGGUAGCGAAAUUCCUUGUCGGGUAAGUUCCGACCUGCACGAAUGGCGUAAUGAUGGCCAGGCUGUCUCCACCCGAGACUCAGUGAAAUUGAACUCGCUGUGAAGAUGCAGUGUACCCGCGGCAAGACGGAAAGACCCCGUGAACCUUUACUAUAGCUUGACACUGAACAUUGAGCCUUGAUGUGUAGGAUAGGUGGGAGGCUUUGAAGUGUGGACGCCAGUCUGCAUGGAGCCGACCUUGAAAUACCACCCUUUAAUGUUUGAUGUUCUAACGUGGACCCGUAAUCCGGGUUGCGGACAGUGUCUGGUGGGUAGUUUGACUGGGGCGGUCUCCUCCUAAAGAGUAACGGAGGAGCACGAAGGUUGGCUAAUCCUGGUCGGACAUCAGGAGGUUAGUGCAAUGGCAUAAGCCAGCUUGACUGCGAGCGUGACGGCGCGAGCAGGUGCGAAAGCAGGUCAUAGUGAUCCGGUGGUUCUGAAUGGAAGGGCCAUCGCUCAACGGAUAAAAGGUACUCCGGGGAUAACAGGCUGAUACCGCCCAAGAGUUCAUAUCGACGGCGGUGUUUGGCACCUCGAUGUCGGCUCAUCACAUCCUGGGGCUGAAGUAGGUCCCAAGGGUAUGGCUGUUCGCCAUUUAAAGUGGUACGCGAGCUGGGUUUAGAACGUCGUGAGACAGUUCGGUCCCUAUCUGCCGUGGGCGCUGGAGAACUGAGGGGGGCUGCUCCUAGUACGAGAGGACCGGAGUGGACGCAUCACUGGUGUUCGGGUUGUCAUGCCAAUGGCACUGCCCGGUAGCUAAAUGCGGAAGAGAUAAGUGCUGAAAGCAUCUAAGCACGAAACUUGCCCCGAGAUGAGUUCUCCCUGAGACUUAGAGUCUCCUGAAGGAACGUUGAAGACGACGACGUUGAUAGGCCGGGUGUGUAAGCGCAGCGAUGCGUUGAGCUAACCGGUACUAAUGAACCGUGAGGCUUAACCUUACA